rnacentral:lncRNA from 1 species
AAACCACCUGCUAUUUCAUUCAAACUGUGUUUCUUUUUUAUUUCCUCAUUUUUCUCCCCUGCUCCUAAAACCCAAAAUCUUCUAAAGAAUUCUAGAAGGUAUGCGAUCAAACUUUUUAAAGAAAGAAAAUACUUUUUGACUCAUGGUUUAAAGGCAUCCUUUCCAUCUUGGGGAGGUCAUGGGUGCUCCUGGCAACUUGCUUGAGGAAGAUAGGUCAGAAAGCAGAGUGGACCAACCGUUCAAUGUUUUACAAGCAAAACAUACACUAAGCAUGGUCUGUAGCUAUUAAAAGCACACAAUCUGAAGGGCUGUAGAUGCACAGUAGUGUUUUCCCAGAGCAUGUUCAAAAGCCCUGGGUUCAAUCACAAUACUGAAAAGUAGGCCAAAAAACAUUCUGAAAAUGAAAUAUUUGGGUUUUUUUUUAUAACCUUUAGUGACUAAAUAAAGACAAAUCUAAGAG